GUCGGCGCCAUCUCUUUUCGCGAAGCAAGGCCGCCGCGUGAACCUGUAACCGCCGGCUGUCUCCCCUCUCCUUUCUCCUCUGUUUUCAGCCCAGCCGCCGCCGAUUCCUUCUCCUCCGUUGUCUGCACUGCCGCGCGACUCUCCGGCCAUCUGUAUACGGUCUCUCCGCCGCACGUCAUCUCUUCGCAAAGCCACUGCUCGAUUUCUUUCGCGAAGAUUUGGGUUCGUUCUUCAUAGACUUCAACGUGGUUAAGGAGCUUAACAAAUUUGAAGGUAAGGGAUUUUCUACUGGACUCACUUAUGAUUGUGAAUUGUAUGUCUGAAUGAUUAUCUUUGACUGAGUAAAGAUGUUGAGAUGAUACUUAUGAAUGUACACUGUGGAUUGACUGAAAA